AUGUCCGUGCACUGGGCUGGACGAGAUCUCCUCAGUCAGAGAACCCCAGAAGAGAGUAUAGCCUGCAAAUUUGUCCAAUGCGCCUUUGAACCGUCAGUGCAUGUUUUCUUUUGUGGUAAAGUGAUCCAGUUGAGCUCUGAUAUCAGGAUUGAGACACUCGGCUCUCAUCUUUGGCAAGUUCUCAGGUAUGGAACCUCGGGUCCCAACACCUCUUCUUCAUCUUCCCAUGUCCUGAAUGGAUCUUUCUAUACGUCUAGAGAUCAGACAAUCAUUGCAGUUUUAGAUGGAUACGACUUGGCAUAUUGA
rnacentral:rRNA from 1 species